UGUGAAGAGUCAAGCCCAUCAGAAGGAUGCCAUUCUUAUCCCACUGUGGACACCUGGUCAUUACCAGAUAUGUGAAUAUUGCUCAAAAGAUAUGCGCAGGUCAAUGGAC